CCUCCCCCUGCUCUGUAUUCUAAGGACGCAGGUCUGCACAGGAGAACAGGAAAAGAAACACAGAGAAGAUAAGUGUUAUCUGAAGGGGAGGAUGAGAAGGACACCCUGUCUAAUGCUUCCAGAUGUGUGACUGGCUCUUGGCCAAAAUCCUUGGAUAACUUCAUCUCUAUUGUAAAGGGCUAAGAAACAACAUGAUAUUGCAUAGAAAACACUGACACAUGCAAUAGCAGCACUUGGGCAAAAGAUAACCGUCGCUUAGAGUCUUUCUUAAAAGACAUAAUGUCUCUUAUAUCUUAUCAAUGAAUAGUCAAUAUUUAUGUUACGUCAUCAUCCUCCUACAACAUCUCCAUAUCCAGGACUAUCUAAAAGCAAAGCGCACUGAUCAAUAGGGCAGUGUGAACGUCAAUAGGUCUUCUGGGUGUAUUUAGAAAAGAUUUUCCCUUUUCAUUAAUCACAGUACUGCCUUUCCUUCUCUUUCUUUUUUUUCUCCUUUUUUUUUCUAAAUAAUACAAAGUGAUGUCAGGUGUGACAAAAAACUGCAAUUGAUAAAGGCGAAAACCGAAACGCGUUUUGCGUUCCUGUAUACUUUUCAUGCAUCAAUAAAGCAUUGGAAGAGCAUCAGAGCCUGUGCCGGGACAUUUCUUCUAUUUUAUCCUACAUAGUCCUCGUGCGCGGUGGAUUGCUCAAGUGCCGCCCGACCUUUAUUUUUCUUGGACAAAAAACUAAGACUGUCCAGUUGGCUAGAAUUUGGAAGCAGAUGGAAACUAUGCAGUGCUUUUUCAACCAACUUAAUGCAUCAACAAAAUAAAA